GUUGUUCCCAGAAUCCCUCCGCGCUGUGUCCUUUCCGAGUCCUAGGAGCGGAGGUGCUCCAAGUUAGGCCUCUUCUCCAGGGCUCAAGCGGCCAGAUACUCAGGCCCACAUAACCCUGGUUCCCCUAAGGAAAACCUAGAGGCAGCAAUAAAUGAUGGGGAAGUUCUAAGGAUACUUCCGCGAUUAACAGCUACUCUAGAAAGAUGGAGAACAAUCAUUUCCAGGUCUCUGCCCUCUCCCCAAAGGACGUUUGACCGUUGUUCCGCCCUGAGCUUCCCGGAAAGAAAAGCCGCGACAACGGGACUUCUCGCGACAUUUCCCCUUCUGCUCUGUGGACGGUAGUUGUGUACGAUUUGGAAGCAAGUGAUCAUCGAAUUGGUAAGCUAUAAAUUAUCCAGAGGAGGAAAAUCAGGAUGAUGGUGGAGCUUAAAUCCAUGGCAUAUGAAAGUCAGAUGAAUAAGACAUGCAUACUGUGGAGAAAAGAAGACUCAGAAGAAACAAUAUAGAUGUCUUUAAGCAUUUUGAAGGUCCUUACGUUGUCUUCAGGAUGAUUAGCUGACUAAAACUCCAGAAGCCAGACGAGUCAGCAGAAAAACCAACACUUCUAUCAUCACCUCCUUUAAAUGGAAAGGAGACAUGGCCUCAGACAGACCGUGUGGAGUAGGACCUCCACUACGGAGCUAAAAAUGACUCUGGGAAUUUAUGUAUGUCUUUGGGACCAAAGAUUGCUCAGCAAAGGAUUUUUAUUUGUUUCCUUCCUUCUAGUAAAACUACAUGAUUCUAGGUAGGGAACCAGCCUCAGUUUUCCUGGAGAGCACCAUGCCUGUGUUUAGUAAAAACAUCCUCCAUGGUCUAUAAAAGCAAGCUAAUAGACAAUCUCUCUAUCUCUCAGACACACACAUCGUUCAGGACUCUUUUUGCCUCUUUCCUUGUUCUUUAUCCCAGUAUCCAGUUGUAAUAAUAAAGGACUUCCUAAAUGGGAAUUAGGCCCAUUUGAGGAAACCUAGCCACAAGCUUUAACCUCAGUAUAUGAAGAGUUUAUUUUGUAGCAUCUCCUGAUGAGGGAUAAUGAGUCAGAGAGAUAAUGACCCUCUUAGUGUCCUUCCUCAGGAUGGAUCCCAGUCUAUGUGAGCCCAGAGUAUUAGGGUACCUGGGGCAAUAUAUGAUGUUUUUUGCAACAGCAAAAAAUAAUAAUAAAUUGCUAAAU